AUUGAACGCUGGCGGCAUGCUUUACACAUGCAAGUCGAACGGCAGCACAGGAGAGCUUGCUCUCUGGGUGGCGAGUGGCGGACGGGUGAGGAAUACAUCGGAAUCUACUUUUUCGUGGGGGAUAACGUAGGGAAACUUACGCUAAUACCGCAUACGACCAUCGGGUGAAAGCAGGGGACCUUCGGGCCUUGCGCGAUUAAAUGAGCCGAGGUCGGAUUAGCUAGUUGGCGGGGUAAAGGCCCACCAAGGCGACGAUCCGUAGCUGGUCUGAGAGGAUGAUCAGCCACACUGGAACUGAGACACGGUCCAGACUCCUACGGGAGGCAGCAGUGGGGAAUAUUGGACAAUGGGCGCAAGCCUGAUCCAGCCAUACCGCGUGGGUGAAGAAGGCCUUCGGGUUGUAAAGCCCUUUUGUUGGGAAAGAAAAGCAGUCGGUUAAUACCCGAUUGUUCUGACGGUACCCAAAGAAUAAGCACCGGCUAACUUCGUGCCAGCAGCCGCAGUAAGAC
rnacentral:rRNA from 1 species